UAAUACGGAGGGUGCAAGCGUUAAUCGGAAUUACUGGGCGUAAAGCGCACGCAGGCGGUUUGUUAAGUCAGAUGUGAAAUCCCCGGGCUCAACCUGGGAACUGCAUUUGAAACUGGCAAGCUAGAGUCUCGUAGAGGGGGGUAGAAUUCCAGGUGUAGCGGUGAAAUGCGUAGAGAUCUGGAGGAAUACCGGUGGCGAAGGCGGCCCCCUGGACGAAGACUGACGCUCAGGUGCGAAAGGCGUGGGGAGCAAACAGGAUUAGAUACCCUGGUAGUCCACGCUGUAAACGAUGUCGAUUUGGAGGUUGUGCCCUUGAGGCGUGGCUUCCGGAGCUAACGCGUUAAAUCGACCGCCUGGGGAGUACGGCCGCAAAGGUUA
rnacentral:rRNA from 1 species